AGGAAAUGAGAAUAUAGCUGGGACUAGUUGAGGAAUGGAGUGAUGGUCCGAAAUGGUGGUUAUAGUAGUCCUCACUAUUUUUAUAAAAUAGUGUGAUAAUAAUUGUAAUGAGUACUCCAUUGAGUGUAGAUAUUGUCUAGAAGGCAAUAUUCGUGUUUAAACUAUCAGCUAUGUUUUGUCGUAUUUUGCACGACAGUUGUAUAAUUAAGUUUGUAGUUGAGUUCUGUACCAUGUAUCUGGCGACUCAAGAUGGGUGAUGUAUACCUGUUUUGGGGGCGUCACAUAUUAGGUCUUCAGACAAAGCUUAAUAAAUUGCAUAACAGUAAUCGAUCGA
rnacentral:lncRNA from 1 species